AUUGAACGCUGGCGGAAUGCUUUACACAUGCAAGUCGAACGGCAGCACGGGGCAACCUGGUGGCGAGUGGCGAACGGGUGAGUAAUACAUCGGAACGUGCCCAAUCGUGGGGGAUAACGUAGCGAAAGUUACGCUAAUACCGCAUACGAUCUACGGAUGAAAGCGGGGGAUCGCAAGACCUCGCGCGAAUGGAGCGGCCGAUGUCAGAUUAGGUAGUUGGUGGGGUAAAGGCUCACCAAGCCAACGAUCUGUAGCUGGUCUGAGAGGACGACCAGCCACACUGGAACUGAGACACGGUCCAGACUCCUACGGGAGGCAGCAGUGGGGAAUUUUGGACAAUGGGUGCAAGCCUCGAUCCAGCCAUUCCGCGUGCAGGAUGAAGGCCUUCGGUUGUAAACUGCUUUGUUACGGAACGAAACGGACGAGCUCUAAUACAGUUGUCUAAUGACGGUACCGUAAGAAUAAG
rnacentral:rRNA from 1 species